UCCCUGGAGGUCUAGUGGUUAGGCCACGGCACUCUCCCCGCUGCGGCCUGGGUUCGAUUCUCAGCCCAGGAG